UACCGCGUGGGUGAAGAAGGCCUUCGGGUUGUAAAGCCCUUUUGUUGGGAAAGAAAAGCAGUCGAUUAAUACUCGGUUGUUCUGACGGUACCCAAAGAAUAAGCACCGGCUAACUUCGUGCCAGCAGCCGCGGUAAUACGAAGGGUGCAAGCGUUACUCGGAAUUACUGGGCGUAAAGCGUGCGUAGGUGGUUGUUUAAGUCUGUUGUGAAAGCCCUGGGCUCAACCUGGGAAUUGCAGUGGAUACUGGGCGACUAGAGUGUGGUAGAGGGUAGUGGAAUUCCCGGUGUAGCAGUGAAAUGCGUAAAGAUCGGGAGGAACAUCCAUGGCGAAGGCAGCUACCUGGACCAACACUGACACUGAGGCACGAAAGCGUGGGGAGCAAACAGGAUUAGAUACCCUGGUAGUCCACGCCCUAAACGAUGCGAACUGGAUGUUGGGUGCAAUUUGGCACGCAGUAUCGAAGCUAACGCGUUAAGUUCGCCGCCUGGGGAGUACGGUCGCAAGACUGAAACUCAAAGGAAUUGACGGGGGCCCGCACAAGCGGUGGAGUAUGUGGUUUAAUUCGAUGCAACGCGAAGAACCUUACCUGGUCUUGACAUGUCGAGAACUUUCCAGAGAU
rnacentral:rRNA from 1 species